AUGACAGAUGGCAGUCAGCAGGCUAAGGUACAGCCAUCUGAAAACCUUGACAGCGAGAUCCCUCUAUGUGUAAUCUCAGAAACUACAACUGAAACAGAAAUUCACACUGCAAGAAAAUCACUACAAGCAUUAGCGACUGAAACUGAACAGAUUGAUUUCCAAACAACUGUACUAUUAACCACAGAGAUGCUACCUGAACCAGAAACAGGAGUAUAUGAAUCUGCUCUUCCUACAAGCAGCCAUGGUGCAAAUGAAAUUGAAAGUGAGAAUUUUGUUUAUGUUUCUUUGGAAACAAAGUCUGAUAAUGAUGAUAUAGCAGAUGAAAAGAUGCCAAUUUCCUCAUCUGCAGCUGUUCACAGCUUGGAAACCACAGUACAAGACACAGACUUGGAAUUACACAGCACUGAGAGUCUUAGCACAGAAGGACAAGUAAGCCAGUUGCCUGAUGCAGUUGUGUGUUCAGAAUCUUUUGCUGAUAGAGUGGAGGGUGAGAAAAUUGAAGCAGUGACUGCAGAGCCAGAUAAAGAGGAAGAGGUCAAAUAUAUUUCACUUUCUCAAGAGGAACCUUGUGGAGAAAAUGAAGGACAAACCAAAAAGGUUACUGCGCUCAUUUUAGAUUUGGAUACAGUGCACAUAGAUAGUGUAGACACAUACUCCCACACACCCACAGAUGGAGCUACAGUGAAAGCAGCCUCUGCUAGUGCUCUUUUAAAUGAGACGACACUGGGCAAACAAGAUCAUGAAACACUGGCCCCUCCAGAAGCUGAAAUUUCUGAACUAGCCAUAGAACCAAUUAGCAUCCUAUCUUCUCUUAAUGAGCCAAGUAUGGUGAAUGUUUCAGAAAUUAGUUCAGCAGUAGAACCAGAACAGUCACAGCUCAUCGAUAUAGACACUAAUGGACAAAUGCAAACAACAGCAGCUCCACCUUCUGAAACACAAGGUAGUGAAGAUGCUGCUUCCAGAGGUAUUGGAACAUUUUCUAGGAACAAUGGACCAAAUGCUGCAAUAGCUGACAGAGAGAGCAACUGGACUACAAAUAAUGGCCCUCGUGAAAUCCAACGCCGAUUUAUUAUUCUAGACUUCCCUGAGGGGGAGGAAAUGCAGAGACAUCAUGCUCAUGAAGCUUCUCUUUUCAGUGAACCCACUGAGACACAGAUUCCGGGAUCAGAACUUUCAGUGUCAGAAAGAAUGGAGACAGAAUGUGAUGAUAAAACAGAGUCAGAGGUCAUAGCCAGUACAAACAGACCUUUAGAAGCAUCUGAGCAAUCUGAACUGAUUGAAGCAAGCCUUAAACUACCAACAAGGCAAGUUGGAGAAGUCAUGCAUUUCAUUGUAGAAGAAGAGACAAAGAAGACCCCAUCAGGUGAUGAAAUGCAAUUCACAGAAGUUGAUCCUAAAUGUAAACCUCCAAUCAAGCAACAAAAUGAGGUAGAAACUGAGAUCCAACAAACAAAAAAAGUGUAUGUCUCAACAACAAUAGAGGAGAAACCUGAAGGUGAAGAAGCCAUUGACGUCAUUUUGGGAGAAGAGACAAAGACCCAAUCAGGUGGUAAAACACAAUCCAAAGUAAUUGAACCUGAACUGACACCUCCAAUCAAGCUCCUGGUUGACUGGGACACUGAGGUACAACCUGAAAAAAUGUAUGUCUCAUUAACAACUGAGGAGAAACCUGAAGUUGUAGAAGCCACCGAUGUGAUUGUAGAAGAAGAGAUGAACAAGACCCCAUCAGGUGAAAAAGCACAAUUCAUGGAAUCUGAACCUAAAAUGACACCACCUGUCAGGAGAAAUGACAAUAAAAUUGAUGUCCAGUCAAACAAGGUAAAUGUCUCAACACAAAAGGAGAAUGCUGAAGGUGAAGAGGCUGUGAAAGUAAAUGUAGUAGAGGAGACAAAGACAACAUCAUCAGAUAAUAAAGCACAAUCCAUGGAAGCUGAACCUGAACUGACACCCUCAAUCAAACAACAGAAUGACCAGAAAACUGAAGUCCAGUCAGAAAAGUUGGAUGUAUCAACAGAGGAGAAAAUUGAAUGUGAAGAAGCCUUGCAUGUCAUUGAGGAACGGAAUGAGUGGGACACCGAAGUACAGUCUAAAAGAAUGAAUGUUUCACUGACACCAGAGGAAAAACAUGAAGUUGUAGACAACUCAGAUGUCAUUGUAGAAGAAGAGACAAACAAGACCCCAUCAGAUGAAAAAGCACAUUCCACUGAGGCUGAACCUAAACCGACACCACCAGUCAGCCGAAGAAACGAAAAUAAGUUUGAUGUCCCAUCAAACAAGGUGAAUAUCUCAACAACAUCAGAGAAGACACCUGAAGGUACAGAGGUUAACACUGUCACUGUAGAAGAUGAGAUAAAGAUGACUCCAUCAGAUGAUAAAGCACAGUCCCUAGAAGUGGAAACCAUACUGACACCACCAGUCAGGCAACAAAAUGAGGGUGAAACCGAUGUCCAAUUAACAACAUCAGAGGAGAAACCUGGGGACACCAUGCAUAUCUCUGAGGAGGAAAGGACAAAAAAGACAUUGGUUGAUAAAAUGCAAUCCAUAGAAGCUAAGCCUAAACCAACGCCACCAGUCAGAAGACGAAAUGAGGGUAAAACUGAUGUCCAAUUAGAUAAGGUGGAUGUCAUACCGACACCUCCCACCAGACGACGUAAAGGUGAAAGGUUAUCGUUAGAUAUUGAAUCACAUAGAGAGGGAGAAGUUUUUCCCACCCCACCAAGCAGAAGACGUAGAGAGAAAAUAGGAAUUGAGAGUUUUUCACUUGAAUUAGAGUCCCAACCCACACCACCAGCAAGACGACAUAUAGAAAAAGAAGAUAGAAGAUUAUCACUCGAUCUGGAGACCCAACCCACACCACCAGCAAGACGACGUAAAGAAAAAGAAGGUAGUAAACUUUCACUCAAUCUGGAGACCGAACCCACACCACCAGUGAGACAACAUAAAGAAAAAGAAGGUAGUAAACUAUCACUCAAUCUGGAGACCGAACCCACACCACCAGUGAGACAACAUAAAGAAAAAGAAGGUAGUAAACUAUCACUCAGUAUGGAGACCCAACCCACACCACCAGUGAGACGAUGUAAAGAAAAAGAAGGUAGUAAACUAUCACUCAAUCUGGAGACCGAACCCACAUCACCAGUGAGACGACGUAAAGAAAAAGAAGGUAGUAAACUAUCACUCAAUCUAGAGACUGAACCCACACCACCAGUGAGACGACGUAAAGAAAAAGAAGAUAUUCAAUUAUCACUCAAUCUGGAGGCCGAACCCACACCACCAGCAAGACGAUGUAAAGAAAAAGAAGAAAGAGCAUUAUCACUUGAUCUGGAGACCCAACCAACACCACCAGAAAGACUAUGUAAAGAAAAAGAAGAAAGUACAUUAUCACUUGAUAUAGAGACCCAAACCACACCACCAGAAAGACUAUGUAAAGAAAAAGAAGAAAGUAGAUUAUCACUUGAUCUAGAGACCCAACCCACACCACCAGAAAGACGAUGUAAAGAAAAAGAAGGUAGUAAACUAUCACUCAGUCUGGAGACCGAACCCACACCACCUGUGAGACAACGUAAAGAAAAAGAAGGUAGUAAACUAUCACUCAAUCUGGCGACCGAACCCACACCACCAGCAAGACGAUGUAAAGAAAAAGAAGAAAGAGCAUUAUCACUUGAUCUGGAGACCCAACCAACACCACCAGAAAGACUAUGUAAAGAAAAAGAAGAAAGUACAUUAUCACUUGAUAUAGAGACCCAAACCACACCACCAGAAAGACUAUGUAAAGAAAAAGAAGAAAGUACAUUAUCACUUGAUCUGGAGACCCAACCAACACCACCAGCAAGACUAUGUAAAGAAAAAGAAGAAAGAGCAUUAUCACUUGAUCUGGAGAUCCAACCAACACCACCAGAAAGACUAUGUAAAGAAAAAGAAGAAAGUACAUUAUCACUUGAUCUGGAGACCCAGCCCACACCACCAGCAAGACUAUGUAAAGAAAAAGAAAGUACAUUAUCACUUGAUCUAGAGACCCAACCCACACCACCAGCAAGACAAUGUAAUGAAAAAGAAACUAGAACAUUAGCGCUCGAUCCGGAGACCCAACCAACACCACCAGCAAGACAAUGUAAUGAAAAAGAAGAUAGACAAUUAUCGCUUGAUCUGGAGACCCAACCAACACCACCAGCAAGACUAUGUAAAGAAGAAAGUACAUUAUCACUUGAUCUAGAGACCCAAACCACACCACCAGAAAGACUAUGUAAAGAAAAAGAAGAAAGUACAUUAUCACUUGAUCUGGAGACCCAACCCACACCACCAGCAAGACAACGUAAAGAAAAAGGUGAAGAUAAAGGAUUAUCAAUUGAUCUGGAUCUUCAACCAACUCCACCAUCAAGAAGACACAAGGAUAAGCCAGAGAGUGAGAUGUUGUUUUACAGUGCUGAAUUAGGAAAAAGUGAUAAUCAGCAAACCAGUGAACGUAGAGAAAGGGAAGAGCACACUGGUAAACCAACUCCACCUGUCAGACGCAAAAUUAGUCAGGUUGAAAGUGAUGUGGCAGUUUGCAAAAACCAAGAAGAGAAAGAGUUCUUUGUGAAACCCACACCACCAACAAGAAGGAAAGAUAGCAAAGUUAAGAGCGAAAUUGUCACAGGUGCUCCUAACCUGAAAGAAGAUACUAGCAUACAUAAACCAACUACACCUCUGAGUCAAAAAGACAGCCAAGCAGAAACUGAGAUGGCUCCAACCACACCUAAAAGUCAACCUGAGGAAGUCCUUCCAACUUCACCGACCAGGCGAAAGAAAGAUCAAAUAGAAGCUGACAGAGUUCCAUUAAUGCCAGAAGAGCCACAGGUCAUAUCAACUCCAACAACCAGCGACAAAGAAAGUUCAUGGAAUGAAAAGGUUUCUAAGUGUGCAAGACUAGAGCUGGAAGCAGAUGUUGAAGCAAUAACUAAACAGGAAGAUAAAGAUGAGUCUGAUACAAAGUCAUUGGAUGGUCAGGAGCAGCAAGAGGAGGGGCAGGACUCUGCUUUGAUCCCAGAACCCAUAAGUGCAAUUAGUCAGACAGAGAGCGUCAGUGAGAUGCAGGUAACUUAA
ensembl:lncRNA